AUAUGCUUAAUAAUAAUAAUAAUAAUAAUAUGUUGGGCAAUAAUACAACUCCUAAUAUAUUCGGUACAACAAACGUAAACAAUACCAACAUGAAUUUAAUGAAUAACGUUAAUAAUAACAUUAAUUCUCUAAACAAUACUAUUUCAAAUCUUAAUAAUACUACUACAACAUCUAAUAUUUUUAGUAACAUAACGAAUAAUACAACUAAUUUAUUACAAAAGAAUACACCUAAUAUAUUCGGAAACAAUAUAUCUAAUAAUACAUUCGCAAAUAAUACAACACAAAAUAGUUCUAGUAAUAUCUUCGGAGGUACUAACACAACAAAUAAUAUGUUUAGUAAUGACCUAACGAAUAACUUAUUUGGAGCUAAAAAUAGCAACAAUAACAAUAUGUUAGGCAUGUCAACUAAUUUGGCUACCACUGGUUUUGGUACAACUGGUUUGGGUACAACUGGUUUGGGUACAACUGGUUUGGGUAUGACUGGUUUGGGUACGACUGGUUUGGGUACGACAGGAUUAGGAACAAGCGGGUUAUUUAAUAACAAUUCUACAUCCAACCUUUUUAAAUCGCCUAUGAAUAAUAAUCCCAAUAAUAACAUAAACAAUAACCCAUCAAAUUUAAUGUCAAACAGUAUAUUUAAUAAUAAUAAUAAUAGUAACUUGUUUAAUAAUACUAUAACUACUAAUAAUACUACAAAUAAUAAUAAUAACACGAUGAAUAGUGGUAUAUUUUCAAAUAUUAAUACUGCAAAUAAUAAUAAAACUAAUAUAUUUUCAGGUAUAAAUAAUAAUACUAAUCCUAAUACUAUUGUUCAAAAAAAUAAUAAUAAUAAUAAUAAUUUAUUUUCAGCUGGUGGUCUUAACAAUUAUAAUUCUUCAACUACACAAAGAAGUGGCAUAUUUGGAACGGCUUCAAAUAUUAACCAAAUGCCAAAUAAUAAUUUAUUUACUACAAAUAAUCAAAAUAACAUAAACAAGGCACCAAAUAAUUUAUUUACGUCUACUACCAACAACAAUGGUAACAUUUUUGGUAGUAAGAUUAAUUUUGGUAUACAAGGUAACAAUACAAAUACGAACAAUUCUACUUUAUUUGGAAUGAAUAAUACGCUAAAUAAUAAUACUUCAUCUUCUCUAUUUUCAGGAAAUAAACCUAUUAAUAACUUUUUAAAUAACAACACUAACAACACUAAUAAUAAUAAUAAGAAUAUAAAUUUAUUUAAUACAAACAAUUCAAAUUUUAACAGUUUUUCUCAAAAUAAUAAUACAUUUAACACAAACAGUACAGUUAAUAAUAAUAAUAGUAGUUUAUUUAAAACAUGUUUUAAUUCUACUACGAAUAAUAACAAUAAUAAUAUUGGUACUACUGGUAGUAAUUUGUUUUCAAAUAGUAAUAAUAAUAGUAGUAUUAAUAGUAAUUUAUUUUCAAGUGGAGUUAAUAAAAAUGUUGUUAGUAAUAGUAAUUUAUUUUCAAAUACACAAAAUAUGACAAAUAAUAACUUGUUCAGUAGUUUUUCCUCAAACAACAACUUAAAUAGGGGUAAUAAUAAUAAUAAUAUUAAUAGCAAAACUGGUAAUAUUUUUAAUACAACAAAUAAUCUACUUAAUGCAAAUAAUAAUCUAUUUCAAAUGAAGUCGAGUAUGUUGAACAAUAACAUAAAUAACAAUAACAAUUUAUUUGCAUCAAAUAAUACUAACACACAAAAAAAUAAUAUGACUUCAUCAUUUAUGUUCUCAAAUAAUAACAUAAAUACGAACAAUGUUAAUAAUAAUAAUAAUAAUAAUAAUAAUAACAAACAAACAAAUAAUAUAUUUAAUAAUAAUUUAUUUUCAAGUCUAAAUAACAAUAAUAACAACUUAUCUAAUACAAACAAUCCUAUAAAUAAUUUAAAUGCGACUAAUAAUUACUUAUUUCAAAAAAAUGCUUUAACAACGUAUAAUGGAAAUAAACAAACCCAACCAAAUUUUAAUUCCAAUUCAACAACCAAAUUCAAUCUGUUAAACAAUAAUACUACUACUAGUGGUACUAACACAUUUGGUGGUUCUACUGGUAGUACUAACAUUUUUGGUUCUACUACUGGCGCUAAUAAUACAUUUGGCAGUACUACAGGUGGGACUAGUAUUUUUGGAUCAACUGCUAGUGGUGCUACUAAUAGUAACAUCUUGCAGCAAAAAACCUCAUCUGCUAUGCCACAAAUAUUUAAACCCUCGAAUACCAACUCUAUAUUUUCAAGAUACAAUAACACCUAUUUGUUUUCAUAGAAGAAAAGGAUACCAAUCCAUAAUUAUUAAAAAGAUAAUUCAUAUAAAAUUUUAUUAUAUUUAUAUUUUU
rnacentral:lncRNA from 1 species